UACUGGGGAUUGAACCCAGGACCUUCUGCAUGCCAAGCAUAUGCUCUGCCACUUGAGCUAUAACCCCCCCCAACUCAGGUAGAUUUUUCAGUGUCUUGAAAAAUGAUUAUGAAUCAUCAAAAAUUUCCAAAUUAUCCUGGCACAAAAAUAGAUGCCUUCCAUCAAUGUUGGGUUUCCUUUCUUUUCAAGAAUAUAGCUAGACCAUGUUUGGAAUCCCCUUUGCCUUCUGUCUCUGGACCUGUUUCCAGAAUUCCAAAGCCCUUGCUAAAAAUGCACAUUUCCCAGGUCUACUCCCAGGAAAUUCUGAUCUAAGAGGUUGGAGGUGGGGCAUGGGAACAUUUUUUAACAAAUCCGUCAAGUGAUUCUUAAAGUCACACAACACUGCUUGAAAGCAAUGGUUCUCAAACCUGAUUUACUUAGGCAGCUUGAAAAAGAAAAACCUUGAUCUCUGGUUCCCACCUCAAACCAGCGUAACCAGAGCCUCCGGUGGCAGGACCUUUUGUAAAAGUCCUCAGGUGGUUUUCAUGGACGUCUAAGAUUGAGACUCACUGCUCUCAAAUAACAUUCAAGUGAAUAUUAAAACAGCUGCAGGAAUAAAGGCUGUGGGAUAAUAACUUUUUUUCACCUCUCAUGUUUUUUUUUUUAAGAUAAAAGACAUUAAAUUUGAGCAAGUGUAUUACAAUCAGAACAUUUUAGUAUGAGACAGAUAUUCUAUAGAAUCAAAUUGAGUACCAGAGAUUCAGAAUUUCUGGGAUGGAAAAAGUCAGUCUCUAGACUUCUUCAAGAAAUUUACCCAUAUACUCUCUGGGCCUUUUAAAUCAUGUACAGUUCACUCUGGUAGCUGGUGAGCAACAGACUACGACCUGCAGAUGGGAUGCAAAUUACCAGGUGAAGUAAGUAGAGAAACGUGGAAGCGAGAUUUAAGGUUAAUUGCGGUAGAAUUUAAAAUUACGGUCGUGAGCAGACUUAAUUAUUCACCAUUCUUUCUGGCUUCCGGAAAAGUUUCUGCACAGGUGUAUUUACCUAGGUGAUCUCCAGUGUGGCGACUCGUAAUUGUACACCUCAGAUUUUGGAAAAUGCUGAAAGAGCCAGGGUCUGAUAAUGACACAAGGAGAUGUUGGCAGACUGUCAUGCCUCUUGAUUUCAGGGAGUUUAGCUUUAUUCUUUUCAAUGAAGUACAUAGUUGAGGAAGAUCCAGUACCAGAUGGCAAUGUUGGCUAGGAGAGCUUUUUCUCACCUACAUUUUGGCAGCUCUGCUCAGACGUGAUGCUUUCCAUGCGUGGGACUUCCGGGCUACACUACUUAACGUGAUCGCUGGGAAGCUUUAGGUGGUAUAGAUGCAGUGGCGCAUCUCAUUAAAGGUCCCAGAACUAUGAACAUCUGACAUCUGUGCUAGAAAUGCAACUGGAUACCAUCUUCAAGUGGUUAUAGACUCAAGUGCAGGUGCCACGUACCAGUUAAACAAAGACACUCGUUUCUGGGACCCACACUCCUGAAGGCCGUAGGCGCCCAGGGGGCAGACGAUGGCUCUGACCCCUCCUGUGCCGAGGCAGAUGGCCGACAGUGCUGCGUAAAACAGCCUCUUCCGCUCCGUUUCCGCUUGAGAGAAAACUCAGCCUCAGACAUCUCGGAAGCCUAUUAAACAAGACAUUUUAAGAAGGACGAUUACUGUCAUUAGAGGAGAACAUGGCAUCUCUUUUCAGUUUUUACUUCCCUUUCUCCUUUUAAAGCCCCUUUUACUUCUGUUACUCCUCUUGCCUUACCUGCAGGCACAGUUGUUAGCUCUGAAAAUGUCACGUGAGGCCUGGCCGGGCUAAGGGUUCUCCAAAGAGGAUUGACAGAGGAACUGCUUCCUGCAGGAGCCGUUUAUUUAAAGACAAAGUACUUUUAGUGGAACCUUUAUAUAAAUUCAAAAGGCACUUUACUUCCAUCUUUUGAAAAAGAGUCAUAAUAUACUGAUUUCAAUAGAUCAGAACUUUAUUUCUAUCUGCUAUAAAAUGGAUGUAAUAAAAAUACAAGUCUAUGACAUACAUGAUAAAAAGAUUUCUCUUGGUGUGCGCUCUUGUGCCGUGCAUAAUCAGCGCACCUAUGCUUGGUGGCUCUGUAUAAAGCACCAUGAUGUGUCAUAGCCCUUGUUAAGUGGCGGGGUGGGGUGCAGAUAGCAGUCCUGUGGCUCCUCCCUUCAGGAGCUAGUGAAUCCAUCAGAGAAGGCAGACAUGCAGGUGGACAAUCAUAAAGUGGCAAAUGCAAUUAUAUAUGUUUGGUCAGAGUGUGGUUGAGCAUGGAGAAGCUAGCAACAAACACUCCGUGAGUCUUCAAGGAAGAGCCAGGAGUUUUGCAGACUUGGAUAUGGGAUGGAAAGAUAAAGGAAGGUGACAGUUUCAGGCAGGAAAAAAAGAGCCUAUGUAACAUUAGAAAAGUAGGGAAGCGGGCAAGGUGAAGCUCAGCAUGUUUGGGGCUGCGUGUAGAGACAGAAGUCUGGAGAGGUAAAUUUGGGACCGGUUGUAAAGGUUCUUAGAUACCAAACUGGCUUUUAUUAUUAUUAUUAUUAUUUUUGGAUAAUAGAGCCAAUGUAUAGAUUUAUUCUUGCAGGGAGUCAAUGCUAUUGGUAGAAAGGUAUGCAUACUGCAGUCACGCUGAUGACUUGACAGCCAGUAAGGAGGCCAUUGUGAUAGCCAAGGAAAAGAAGGCUGCAUUUUUGAGCUAAGGUAAUAGCAAUUCAGACAGAAGACACAUUUUUGAUAGAACCUCUGAUGCCUAGUGGUUGGUGACACUGAUGACAGCCAUGAGUGGGGGACACCAGGAAAUAACUUUGAGGAAGAAACUGAACAGGACAUGAAAUUGACUUGUCUUUUGUUUGCCUAAUCCCAAAGUUGGGAUUUCUGUUUGAGUGUAAUGACUUACACGGGAAUUUAGACUCAUAGGAAUCACCAUGUUCAACGAGAGGUUGAACGCUACUGACAUGGCUUGUUAGCAGGUUAAGAAAAGUAAGUCCCUCAGGCCCUUGCUUAAAUGUCUCCUGAUGGGAUGCAGAAGAGCAGCCUUGUCACUGGCUAGUCCAUCCCGAUCCCUUACGCAGCUUUGUUUUCCAUCAUCACACAUUACUACCCAACGUAACAGCCAUUUACUUGACUAUCUCCUGUCUCCGCACACCAGAAAGUCAACUUCGGAGAAAUACAGACUGCUUUCUUCUCUGCUGCGUUCCAGAUCCUGGAACAAAACCUAACGGAGUAGCCCAAGCGAAAUAUUUGUUGGAUGUUGAACGAAUAUUCGCCAUGCAGUGACUUAGUUUUUAUGUCACAGACUGAAGCAGUGAAGAAGUUUACGAGCGUAAAUCAAUCUCUCAUGGCUUCAGUGAGUGGUGCUUCACCACCUGCCUGGAACUGGGUGAUGCGCCGAGUCCCUGAUACCCGUCCCUUCAUCAUUCGUCUCCCCUGCCCCUCAGACUGCAUUUCAGCUGCACAUGUCAGGGUUGGUGAACAGCACUUUACCUUUCUAAGUUCCUCGGCUCAGAACUUGGAGUUAAUUUUUGUUCUUCCAUCAUAUUUGUGCCCUUAUUUAGUUGACAAGGUUUGUAUCGUUUGACUUUUUUUUUCCUGGAUUGACUUCUCCAUUGCCUACACCAGCAUCCUGAGAUUUUUCUGGUCUCUGUCUAACCUCUCACUGCGAUUGUCCAUCCUGUUUAUUGAAGAAAAGCAUUUCCCAGAUGUGUUCAUCUUAUCUUCAACGACGCCUCCUUGUCUAGAAGAGCAACUUGAACUUCUCAGCCUAAAUUUCUAUACUGUUCAUCCACUUGAUCUCUAUACCUUGUCAGACAAAUUUGGUAUUCCACCCCCAGCAUUCUCCACAAUCACUUCACUCCCAAACUGUUGUAGACACAGUUCUUUUUCGCUAUGUAAAGAAGCACAGCGUAGUGUUUAAAUUCAUUUAUUUUUUAGCAUGUAGCCAUAGUUCAUAAUACGGAAAUCACAUCUUCAUAUGCAGCCUUAAUUACUAAAUGACUAAUUAAAAGACCACCUCUUGAUGAAAGCAUUUCUCAGUUAUUCUGCAUGAACUUCAGAACACCUUUUUAGCACAUUUCACUUGCAUUGUGAAGCAAAUGAACUUCAUAUUUCACAUAGACUUUGUCACAAAUUUGGGCUGGUGAUAGGAAGUAGGGUAAAGGAGGGCAUUCAUAAAGUACAGAAGACAGACAUUUAGAGACAAUUACUAAAAAUAUAAUCAGUGCCAUGAUAUAGGUACCAAGCACCCUCUAAUACACGCACACACACGCUUACUAGUAGCCCUCAACUAAUACACAGAAUAAAAUACAUUGAAACAUUGUUAGCUGAUUUAUUACAUUUUAUGCUACAAGCAAGGUGGAAAUAACGUAAACCAAAUAUUCUAAUCAAAAUCUACUCAAAUAUGUUGUAAAACAACCCUGUCAGGAGAGGGUACUCACCUAGAAAAUGCAGAAAUAAGCAAAUCUGUACCAGUUUGUUUCUUCCUAGGCAGACAUCAGCAAGCCAUCCUGCAAACACAGGGGUAAGGACUGAAGUUCCAAUAAAACACAAGUUCAAAAUGGCGGCCUGGUCAUUGCGGUAGCCAAGCUUGACGGUGCAAAAGGGGAUCAUAUUGCAGACGACUUCGAAAAAGGUGAACCUUUCACACAGCUCCACCAGAAGCAAACAGAUUCCAACCUGAAUUUUUCUCACAGAGUGUGAUGAGGAGAAAUCUCCGGAAUUUUAAUCAUAAGUGGAAUGACCCAAGAUUGGACAUGGUGGACGCUGAGUGAGAUAGCAGUACGCCGAAGGGGAUUCCCCAUGUGGCCCCGAUGGAGAACUCAGGGCCACCCCAGUUUUUACCCUUCAGGAGGUAUGCCUAGUUUUUCCUUCACUAAAGGACUCAAUUUCCAAUCAGUUUUGGUUUAAAUUUGCCCCAUUUGGUUUCUGCACCUUCCAAGAAGCCUCAGUGAUACUUUGUUGUUGUUACCCCAGAGGCAAGGGAAAGCUGGUCACCAGCCGUGUAGCCAGGACCUGGCAAAGGACUCCGGCAGUGUGAUUUCACAAGCAGGGUGGCGCCACCUCCUCCCAGGGCCCGAUGAUAAUUGCGUUUCAGUUCUUUGGUUCCUCUCUGCAUCCUUGCCCAAGAACAGGCCACAGGUGGUGGGAACCCCUGGGGCUUGGGGGUAAUUACGUCAUGGAGGGCAACAAUGUUUGCUAAAUAGAUUUGAAACAAUAGGAAAUCACCUCUUUCUUUUUGGUAUUUCUCAAUACUCAGAAUGGGCUCAAAACACAAGUACAUACCAACUCCCGUUGAGAAUAACACUUGGCAGGGAAUACUGAAUACCAUCUUGGUUAACACACUUGAGCCCUUAAGUGGGAAAUUAUGCAUACUUUAGUUUUAUGCAACCCUACCCUGUCCCCUACAGCCUCAGGCUUGUUCUCCAUCCCUGUCCCUCCCCAUUCUUGCUGCCCUUAAUAAAGAGAUAUUUGUCCUCCGUUACAGAAGCAAUGUAUGCACGUUAGAUCCAAUUUGGAAACUGUCUAAAAAUAGAAGAAGAAAACAAACAGUGUAUGUUUUUGAAGCAUUUCUUUUGAUGUUUCCCCUUGAUGGCUACUUUUUAUUAGUAGGCUGUAAAUAUUUAAAUUGUAUAAUUGUAUACAAUUACUGUAUAAUAUGUUUUCCACCCCCUUUUGUAGGUAACGUUAUAAGCACUUUAACAUACCAUUGUGAAGUCUUUGUAAACAUGAAUUUUUAUGGUUGCAUUAAUAGAUAGACACUUGGUUCACUUAACUCUUCCUCCAUUUUGGGUUCAUUACAUUUGUCUCAGAUCAGUUAUAAGCCAGUCUUUCUUUAACUUUGGACCUUGAACCCACAUUUAAGGGAAAAAAGUGUUUAUCAGCAAUGCUAGAAUGAAUAUUUGUGCAUAAAGCUUCCCAUUCCCAGAUUAUACCCUUAAGCUAGUUUUUCAGAAACAAUAUUACUGGGUUAAAGUGUGGGAAAGUUUUUAGGCAUCUUGAUACAUAAUGUCAACUUGCAAUACAAACUUCAGGCAUUUUUUUAAAAAUUAAAAAACGUGUUUUGUUUUUGGAAUGUAAAAACUGUACUUAUCACCAGAAGUCUUCACCAGAAAACCAUACUAUCACCAGACAAAAGUCGUAAGUCAACGUGUGGGGUCAUAAUGUUAACCAUACUUGUAGAUAUUGAAACAUGUGUCUUAUUUCAUAGAGAAAAUUAAUCAGAAGCCUAUUUGAUGAACUAAUGACCAUCCAUGAUUUUUCUGAGCAUCCAGAGCCCGAAUGCAUCAGAUCCCACAAAGUUGCAUUUGGAACAUACCAGAAAUGUAAGCUCUGCUUUUGAGGAGUCUAUUUUUUUUUUAACAAUGCAGGAUUGAAAAGAAUUUCUAUAAACUAAUCUCAAGUUAAUUAUGAAUUUUGAAAAAACUGUAGUGUCUUCUGAAAUAGUUUUACAGUGUGUUUCUGUAACCCUUUCGAGUUUUAUAUGUAUUUACAGAAUAAUUUUUCAUAGGUCCUCUAAAUGCUUUAUUAAACAUUUUUAAGGGAGGCUUUUCUAGCUCAGUAACUAUAAAUGGUAGGCACAGAGGUCAGUAGGAGAUAUUUAUUCUUUUAGGCCAAUUGAUUCCAUUUAAUUCCACUGAUGGUGAGAUUUGGUUGGUGGCCUGAAAGCAUUGUCAAGAACACAGGGAUGGGAAUUGGCCUCACUAUAAUUUAACUGUUAAAAAUUGUGCAUCAAUACUAGUUGGAGUGAAAUUUUUGCUUCAUCGUCAGGUUGUCAAGUAGAAAUGGAAAGGUGCGUAUUGGGCUAUGGAUUUGAUUUGGAGAAAAGAUGUUUUCUGGGUUAACCGCUACUCCUCUUUUAUAAAGAAGCUCUGGCAAUUGUAUGAUUAUCUCUACCUCAACCCUUCUGUCAAGUGUGAAGGAGAAUUACUUCUGUCCCCUGCAGAUAAUAGCUCAGACAGUCCCAAGAAUGUAGAAAAUGUCCCAUCCUUUUCCUUUCUCUGAGGAUAACCAAAAAUGAAGGCCAUUGCACUCCUAAGGAGUUUUUCUUCCACUGUGCAAGGACUGUUACUAUGAAUCUUGCUAUUGCGUUGAACUUGACAUGGAAGGUGUGUCUGUAUAAAGUUAAGUCAGGUGGGAAUGAGUUACUGCUUGUCCAUUGUGAUAGUUCAUUUUAUGUUCCACUUGGCUGAGCCACAGUGCCCAGAUGUUUGGUCAAACAUUAUUCUGGAUGUUUCUGUGAAGGUGUUUUUGGAUGAGAUUGACAUUUCGAUCAGAAAUUUUGAGUAAAGCAGAUUGCUUUGUCCAAUCCAUUGAAGACCUGAGGAGAACAAAAGCUGGUUCCCCCGGAGCAAGAGGGAACACUCCAGCAGAUUGCCUUUGAACUUUACCUGUCACGUUGGCUCUUCCAAAAUUUCCAGCAGACUUCCUCUGGACUUGAACUCAAACUCUCUUCUGAGUCUCCAUCCUGCCAGCCUCUUCAGUCAGACUUUGGACUCAACGAGCCUCCAUAAUCACGUGAGACAAUUCCUUAAAAUAAAAUUCUUACUGUAUAUUUGUACACCCUA